rnacentral:rRNA from 1 species
UGGGGAAUAUUGCACAAUGGGGGAAACCCUGAUGCAGCAACGCCGCGUGAGUGAAGAAGUCAUUCGUGAUGUAAAGCUCUAUCAGCAGGGAAGAAAAUGACGGUACCUGAGUAAGAAGCCCCGGCUAACUACGUGCCAGCAGCCGCGGUAAUACGUAGGGGGCAAGCGUUAUCCGGAUUUACUGGGUGUAAAGGGAGCGUAGACGGUUAUAUAAGUCUGAAGUGAAAUGCCAGUGCUCAACACUGGAACUGCUUUGGAAACUGUGUAACUGGAGUGCAGGAGAGGUAAGUGGAAUUCCUAGUGUAGCGGUGAAAUGCGUAGAUAUUAGGAGGAACACCAGUGGCGAAGGCGGCUUACUGGACUGUAACUGACGUUGAGGCUCGAAAGCGUGGGGAGCAAACAGG